GUAUGUACCUGGAAGAGGGGACACCAUGAUCAAGAAGGUGGUUUUCCCAGAGUGAGACUUAACCACUGCACUCUAGGUGUGCUGACCCCUGUGAUUUCCUGAGGUGUCAGGCAGGGAAAUGAACUAUGAGGAGAUGAGAAGGAAAACUUGGUUCAAAUUGGC